rnacentral:misc_RNA from 1 species
GAUGAAGAACGUAGCGAAAUGCGAUACUUGGUGUGAAUUGCAGAAUCCCGUGAACCAUCGAGUCUUUGAACGCAAGUUGCGCCCGAAGCCAUUAGGCCGAGGGCACGCCUGCCUGGGUGUCACACAUCGUUACCCUCGCGCCAACGUCCAGUGUUGGGCACGGCGCAGGGCGUAUGCUGACCUCCCGCGAGCGGGGUCUCGUGGUUGGUUGAAAAUCGAGUUCGCGGUCGAGUGUGCCGUGAUGAAAUGGUGGAUGGGCGACGCCCGAGGCCAAUCCAAUCGCGCGCGACUCUGUCCGGCUUGGACUCCUGGACCCCUUGGGCGUCUCCGGACGCUCCCCAGCGAGACCUCAGGUCAGGCGGGGCUACCCGCUGAGUUUAAGCAUAUCAAUAAGCGGAGGA